rnacentral:rRNA from 1 species
GAUGAACGCUGGCGGCGUGCCUAAUACAUGCCAGUCGAGCGAACAGACGAGGAGCUUGCUCCUCUGACGUUAGCGGCGGACGGGUGAGUAACACGUGGAUAACCUACCUAUAAGACUGGGAUAACUUCGGGAAACCGGAGCUAAUACCGGAUAAUAUAUUGAACCGCAUGGUUCAAUAGUGAAAGACGGUUUUGCUGUCACUUAUAGAUGGAUCCGCGCCGCAUUAGCUAGUUGGUAAGGUAACGGCUUACCAAGGCAACGAUGCGUAGCCGACCUGAGAGGGUGAUCGGCCACACUGGAACUGAGACACAGUCCAGACUCCUACGGGAGGCAGCAGUAGGGAAUCUUCCGCAAUGGGCGAAAGCCUGACGGAGCAACGCCGCGUGAGUGAUGAAGGUCUUCGGAUCGUAAAACUCUGUUAUUAGGGAAGAACAAAUGUGUAAGUAACUAUGCACGUCUUGACGGUACCUAAUCAGAAAGCCACGGCUAACUACGUG